GAAUGCCUAGGCUCUCAGAGGCGAUGAAGGACGUGAUAAGCUGCGAAAAGCUGCGGGGACAGGCACAUACUGAUUGAUCCGCAGAUAUCCGAAUGGGGCAACCCACUAUAUUGAAGAUAUAGUAUCCGUAAGGAGGCGAACCCGGAGAACUGAAACAUCUAAGUACCCGGAGGAGAAGAAAACAAAAGUGAUUCCGCUAGUAGUGGCGAGCGAACGCGGAAUAGCCCAAACCAAUGUUGUUACGGCAAUAUUGGGGUUGUAGGACCACGACAUUUGAUGUUUACUAAAUUAGAACUGUUUGGAAAGACAGACCAAAGAGGGUGAUAGUCCCGUAUAGGUAAGGUAAAUUAUUGAUAGUGGUAUCCUGAGUAGCGCGGAACACGAGGAAUUCUGUGUGAAUCUGCCGGGACCAUCCGGUAAGGCUAAAUACUCCCGAGAGACCGAUAGCGAACCAGUACCGUGAGGGAAAGGUGAAAAGCACCCCGACGAGGGGAGUGAAA
rnacentral:rRNA from 1 species